rnacentral:lncRNA from 1 species
AACACCGACUCUCUCUUAGUAUACCAGUGGAUCGAGCCAUAUCUAUAGCACCAGUUCUGGCAGCUGUGACAGCUAUGAAAUAAUAUACAAGUGCAUUAAUGGACGAACUCAUCACACCAGUUCUAAUUCUCAAACAGCAGAUAUCAAUCAAAUACAAGUGAAAACAAACAAAAAAUUUAAAAUGUCCAAUUCAUAUUGUUUCUGAGAAUGACAGUUGGUCAUUUUUACCAUUGUAAGGAACUGUAUAGAUGUAAUUGGCAGGAAGGCCAAUGCCAAUGCCGAGCAGAGAGAAGCCAACACUUCUGGUAGCUGUGAAGGCUAUGAAAUAAUAUAUAAGUGCAUUAAUGGACGAAUUCAUCACACCAGCUCGAAAUCUAAAACAGCAGAUAUCAAUCAAAUACAAGUAAAAAGAAACAGAAAACUUAAAAUGUCCAAUUUAUAUUGUUUCUGAGCAUGACAGUU